rnacentral:rRNA from 1 species
GAUGAACGCUGGCGGCGUGCCUAAUACAUGCAAGUCGAGCGAACAGAUGAGGAGCUUGCUCCUCUGACGUUAGCGGCGGACGGGUGAGUAACACGUGGAUAACCUACCUAUAAGACUGGGAUAACUUCGGGAAACCGGAGCUAAUACCGGAUAAUAUAUUGAACCGCAUGGUUCAAUAGUGAAAGACGGUUUUGCUGUCACUUAUAGAUGGAUCCGCGCCGCAUUAGCUAGUUGGUAAGGUAACGGCUUACCAAGGCAACGAUGCGUAGCCGACCUGAGAGGGUGAUCGGCCACACUGUAACUGAGACACGGUCCAGACUCCUACGGGAGGCAGCAAUAGGGAAUCUUCCGCAAUGGGCGAAAGCCUGACGGAGCAACGCCGCGUGAGUGAUGAAGGUCUUCGGAUCGUAAAACUCUGUUAUUAGGGAAGAACAAAUGUGUAAGUAACUAUGCACGUCUUGACGGUACCUAAUCAGAAAGCCACGGCUAACUACGUG